UACGGGGGGAGCAAGCGUUGUUCGGAUUUACUGGGCGUAAAGGGCGCGUAGGCGGUCAGCACAAGUCAGUUGUGAAAUCUCCGGGCGUUAACUCGGAAAGGUCAACUGAUACUGUGCGACUAGAGUGCAGAAGGGGCAACUGGAAUUCUCGGUGUAGCGGUGAAAUGCGUAGAUAAUCGAGAGGAACACCUGCGGCGAAGGCGGGUUGCUGGGCG
rnacentral:rRNA from 1 species